AUUGAACGCUGGCGGCAUGCCUUACACAUGCAAGUCGAACGGCAGCGCGGGGGCAACCUGGCGGCGAGUGGCGAACGGGUGAGUAAUAUAUCGGAACAUACCCUAGAGUGGGGGAUAACGUAGCGAAAGUUACGCUAAUACCGCAUACGCACUAAGGUGGAAAGUGGGGGGAUCUUCGGACCUCAUGCUCAUGGAGUGGCCGAUAUCUGAUUAGCUAGUUGGUGAGGUAAAGGCUCACCAAGGCGACGAUCAGUAGCUGGUUUGAGAGAACGACCAGCCACACUGGAACUGAGACACGGUCCAGACUCCUACGGAGGCAGCAGUGGGGAAUUUUGGGACAAUGGGGGGCAACCCUGAUCCAGCAAUGCCGCGUGAGUGAAGAAGGGCCUUCGGGUU
rnacentral:rRNA from 1 species